CUAUUUUUUUCCAUUUUCUACCAUUGUUGCCCCUCUCCCUUAACAAACCGGCCUCCAACUCAUUGUCAUUCUCGAAUAUCAAUCACCAUGGUUCAAUGCGACCUUUCAGUACUCGUCAGUUCCCAACUCCCCUAUAACCUAAUGUUCGUUUCAGGUUCCAUCAAUGGCGAUGAAUCUCAUCUCCCCUCUAGCCUGUUUUUCGAUUCUUACCUCAAUCGACCCGAUCUUGUAAGAUGGAUAGAUUGUUAAAAAAUCUAGGGUUCAAUGUCAGAACCGCAAGGUGAAAAUGAAGAUUAGAGUUGAUUUCAGAUCCACCCACGAAGAUUCAGAAACAGUGAAGAGUGGUUAUUGGGCGAAUUCGCGAGGUGGAAGUGCUGCUUGUGGGAUUGUAAGAUUCUCUACUAAAAGAUCCGGAGAGAUUGGUCGUCUUCCAAUGGAGUGGUCAAAGUGUUUGAUUCCGCUUGUUACUUCAAAAAAGGUUAAAGUUCUUGGUAGAUGUGUGGCUGCACCAGCAAGUCUCAGCAUGAUGCAAGAGAUUAUGCUUUACAUAAGCUUUUAUAUUCAUCGUUCGAUAUUCACUGAAGAUGGAAAUUGUUCAUGGAAGUUAGAUUCUCCAUCAAACAUUGACACUACAAUUUAUCCUUUGUUAACUUUGUUCAAAUUGUUGAAAAAGAGCCCAUUUCAAAAGGCUGAGUUUACACCAGAAGAGCUUGAUACUCGUAAACGCGCGCUUACUCUUGAAGUAUGUUUGCUUGAUCAAUACCCUUUAUUUGUUUUGUUGUUUACAUUUUCAUGUUUAGGGUAUUAUUGUUUCAAAAUUUGUAUUUGUUUUGGAACUAUACGUUUGAUUUUGAUAUCAUUAGUAGUGACAAGUCAACCUAUUUUGAGUUCCUAUUAGUGGUGUGCACGGUUUGGUUUGAGUUCCUUUCGGCAUAAAUUGAAUUGGUUGAGAGAUGGUGUAGCUCCUGUUUCCAACCUGUCUGAUUUAGAAGGUGAUUGAUUGGAAAUUCCCGGUUUCAAGCUUGAACUUUCAACGUUUAACAAGUCUCACCUGCCGUGCUGUGUGUGUGAAACCACCGUGAUUGAUUGAUUGGAAUAUUCUACGAUCUGACAGACGCCAAAUCUUCCUGAUGGUAAACUGCAUUCUCGAUUGAUCGAUUGUUUGUUUGUUUGUGUACUCAUCAGUGCCAAACGCCCAAACUUAGUGCUUGAUUGAUGUAGCUUCUUCGGCUAGGAAGAACCCAUCAGCACUUUCACGUCCGGUAAGUGUUUGAUGAAAUGUCUCAGUCAGUAAGUGUUUUAAAGGGCUCUUGUAUCUGUCUUUUUAGUCACUUGUUUAAUGAUUCUUGUUGAGAUUAGUCAUUCUGAAGUGAUAUUCUUGAUGGUUAUGUAAGAAAUCUUGGAGAUACGUUCCUAUUUUCAACUAUUGUUGGUAAACUAACCCACAUUCAGAUCUUUAUUUGUGUGCAUUGUGCCGUAAUUGCAGUUGUUUACAUGGUGGAAUUCAUGUCCUAUAUGGCUAUCUUUUGUAAAUAUUUUAGAAUAGAUGUUUUCUUUCUGAGUCCCCUUUCUUUUUAUCGGCAGGCACUUGGAGGGGCCAUCUAAAAUCUAAAGGCUAAAACUCACAGACAUCAAUAUUGACAUUAAAAGAGUCCCUAAUAAGAAAACCAUGGUUGCUGGUAUAGGUAUUGAAGUUUUUUCUUAUUUGCAGAUGUGAAGAACAAGUGAAAGAGCAGUUCUUAGGGAAGAAAGAUUAUCUUCUAAUUUGUAUGUUCUUGAAAAAAAAGAUUUUGAUAGCUCAAGAUGGCUGUUUUGCGAAAGGGAAUAUCUAUGUACUCCAGUUACAAGACCAUCUAGGAAAUGUGAAAAUGACACCAAUGCACCGAAGAAGAUCCCAAAAGAGAAGGAUCCAGUUCCUGAUCAUAUUCAUCAUCCUUAUUUUAUUGGCACGUUGAACUCUAAAGAUGCGCAAUAUAAACCGUAUGUUCCAAUCAAUUUCGUAAGGGCAAACCGUCACCGAUUAAGCACUGGAGGGAUGAUUCUUAGAUAUGUUCAAAGUCAAACGUCGUGGAUGGCUGAGAUAAGGAUUCGUGCGAAUAGUUACAUAAUAGGAGGAUGGCAUGAUUUUUAUAGUAUGUCUUAUCAGUUAUCAUCAUAUUGUCUUCUGAUUUCACGUGCUUACUUUCAAGAUACACAAUCACUGUAGCUUCAAGUGAAAAUAACAGUUCUUACUGGCAAAGGUGCAUAUGGUGAAGUUUAUAAAGUAAAAUGGCAUGGUACAGAAGUUGACGCAAAGACGAUCCGGUAAACCCAUACUUCAAUGGCUUACAGAAUCGAAAGAAACCGCACUUGAAAAGUGGGAAUGUAUUUUAUCCGGGGAACUGCAGCAGAAGCCGAAAAAGUUAUUAGGCAGUGGAAGCGGACCGAAAUUACCACAACUUAGAGCCCGUUGUUUUUAGUAUUCGCUUUUGUUAUUAUUAAAGUUUUCUGUUAUUGUCAGGUUCAAACUUUCAGACUUUCAAACUUUUAGUUCAUUUCUUGUUUUUACGUCGGUUGUUUUAUUUUUAUAGAUAUAUCGAGGCGUUAAACUGGCCACUGGGGUCUGGGGAUACGAGUUUGAUAUAAGUUGCAUGGGUGACGAUGCCACAGCUAAGAAGUGGAGCAAGGAGAUCAAAACAGUUAGUUAAUCUCCAGCCUGCUACUCAUCCGAUUGACCAAACGGAAAACGACACCGCACCAACGAGAACCAGAAGGAAGACGGGUGGUGGAAGGGGACGAGAUGACGCUGGGCUUGUGGCGGCAACGAUAGGUAGAUCGGUGGCUGGCGGUAGAGGCAGAGGUGUUAGAUUGAUUGAUUUGGACCUGGAACCACUGUCUGAAGUUGUUCCUGAACUUGUAGCUCGUGGAGUUGGUGAGCUUGCGUUUAAUAGAAUCGACGCGGUUGCAGAUAAAGAUAUAGCAAUGGACGGUGGAAGUGGUAAUAAAGUUAUCGGAGUUGAAGAAGAUGGAAACACACCUGCCGUGCCCGAAAGGGUACGAGUAGGCAACUCUCCUAUAUAUAAGACCGAUAGAAAGUUGGGUAAGGGUGGUUUUGGACAAGUUUAUGUUGGUCGGAGGGUAAGCAGCGGAACCUAAAGAACAGGCCCCGAUGCAUUUGAGAUUCUAUUUUUAGGUAGCAUUAAAGUUUGAGCAUCGUAGUAGAAAGGGUUGCAACUAUGGUCCUCUGUAUGAGUGAUUUCCGUUACCAAAGCUCGUUGAAUGGUUGUUACGGGAUUCCGUGGGUUCUCACUACAAGGGACAUCAAGGCGAUUUUUACAUUCUGGCGAGUUUCGGCUUUUGACUUUGACAUCAUGAACCACUCAGUUUGUAGUUGAAUUAUUUGUAUUUAUAUUUUUUAUGGUUUUAUAUGGUCAAAUAGUGGGGCUUGAGUCAUGGUUAGAGUUACUGAGUUGUAGGAGUAGUGGUUAUAGUUGGUUUCCUUCAUUUACCUAGCUAAAUGUGUGUAUAUAUGUAUGGUUUCGCAAUGAUAAAAGUGUGGGUAUUCAAGUAGUAA